CAGCCGCGGUAAUUCAGCUCCAAUAGCGUAUAUUAAAGUUGUUGCAGUUAAAAAGCUCGUAGUUGAAUUUCGGGGUUCUACCGUUGGUCGGGCUAACCAGUCUGUACUAGCGUGUAAAAUUCCUACCUUCUGGAGAACCAUCAUGUUAUUAAUUUAGCGUGGUGGGAAACCAGGACCUUUACCUUGAAAAAAUUAGAGUGUUCAAAGCAGGCUUACGUCUGAAUACAUUAGCAUGGAAUAAUAGAAUAGGACGGUGGUCCUGUUUUGUUGGUUUCUGAAUCACCGUAAUGAUUAAUAGGGAUAGUUGGGGGCAUUAGUAUUCAAUUGUCAGAGGUGAAAUUCUUGGAUUUAUUGAAGACUAACUUCUGCGAAAGCAUUUGCCAAGGAUGUUUUCAUUAAUCAAGAACGAAAGUUAGGGGAUCGAAGACGAUCAGAUACCGUCGUAGUCUUAACCAUAAACUAUGCCGACUAGGGAUCGGACGAUGUUAAAUUUUAUUGACUCGUUCGGCGCCUUAUG
rnacentral:rRNA from 1 species